GCCAACAUGUCUUGUGUAUCUGCACCGGUUAUUGUAUGAAUAGUUGGGGGUCUAGUUAACUUUGGGCAUUUACAUGUUUGGCAGAUUUCUAUAAAAUGCCGUGUACAGAAUGUAGAUUUGAGGAGACGAAGUUAUUAAAAUGGGGUGGGGUGAGAGGAGACAUGCCAAUGAAAACAGACAAUGUGGAUUUUAAUCCUUUCCACAGGAAUUCAGGCGAAAGGGGAAUAAAAUAAUUCUAUAGGGUCACUUGGUAAUUCAGCUUAAACGAAGCUCAGGAAAAGGAAUAUUUCUCAGAAGGCUGAUUUAUGCACUUAAAGCAACUAAGUCCCAGGUGCCAUCGGAAGUAAUACAACUUCAGCAAUGUCCUAGCCUGCGUGCUCAGACGAACUGCCUGAAUCAAUUUCUAACCUCUCUUUAAAGCAUUUCAGAGUCAAGUUCUACUGGGACUGUUUGAGCCCGAGACUCUCCGCUAGCAGAGGCUGCAGCACCAAGGGAAGUUCAGGGACCCAGCACUGAAAAGCAUGUCACAGUACACCUUGCACCCGGGCGGUCUCCAAUGAAGUCGGAUUUUGAAAGUAUGCAGAUCAAAGGCAAAGGGGAGAGCACAUGUAGAACAAAUAUGAAGGAAUGACAUGAAACUGGGUAGGAACAGAACAAGCCAGAGGAAGAGAGAGUUACUGAAGAAUGUGAUGGCCCAAAUUAGUGAUGAACAGACGGUACAGAAGAAGGGAAAAGUAGGUAAGAUGCAUUGAGAACGGAUGGCAGACGGAACACUGAACUGCUCUACUCCCCUUCUCUAAUAAAGAAAACUGUCUUCGAACUAGAAAGAUUAAACAUACAUGGGCAAGAAGCAACUGAAGCCCCAAAUAGAUUCAUAGAAAGGUGCCAAGAAAUGCAUGGAAAGGCCCUGAGCACAAUCAGCCAGCCUCCCCUAAUGUUUGCAGGUGGAAUUUUAAAACCAUUGACCACACUUCUGAGAAUGCUUGGGGAAUGAGAGGAUUGGUACCAGAAGACUGACAGAUGGACAAGUAAUUUUAGAAUUGUCAAACAUGGAGACAAGCCCAGAAGUAUGAUAGCCAUGGAAGGAAAUGCGAAAACUCAGGGUGCUUUCCCAAUGGAGCAGAGUAAGGAAGACCAAAGGAACAUUGCAUCGAUUUCCACUGUGAAUACAUACGUUAUCAACUUGCAUAAACUGAUUUAUUUGACACCCAUUUAUUUGACCUUUCCUGUCCCAGCCCAGGAGAGAGGACAUCUAUGGCCCACAUUCCCUCAAGAGUCAGUGGAAGAUUUAGAUAAUGGCAAAGAUUGGGUAUGCCACAUUCUCUCAGGGAUGUAGCACUUGAAAGGAAAGAGAUUGCUUGCUUCCAGAGCUUGGUAGAAAAUAAAUGUAGCUAACUCCUUUCA